UACAGAGGUCCCAAGCGUUGUUCGGAUUCACUGGGCGUAAAGGGUGCGUAGGUGGCCAGGUAAGUUUGGUGUGAAAGCUCGGAGCUUAACUCCGAAAAGUCAUUGAAUACUAUCUGGCUGGAGGGUCGGAGGGGAGACUGGAAUUCUCGGUGUAGCAGUGAAAUGCGUAGAUAUCGAGAGGAACACCAGUGGCGAAGGCGAGUCUCUGGACGAUAACUGACGCUGAGACGCGAAAGCGUGGGGAGCAAACAGG
rnacentral:rRNA from 1 species